rnacentral:rRNA from 1 species
GAGUUCCCUUCGGGGACAUUGGUGACAGGUGGUGCAUGGUUGUCGUCAGCUCGUGUCGUGAGAUGUUGGGUUAAGUCCCGCAACGAGCGCAACCCUUGUCUUUAGUUGCCAUCAUUAAGUUGGGCACUCUAGAGAGACUGCCAGGGAUAACCUGGAGGAAGGUGGGGAUGACGUCAAAUCAUCAUGCCCCUUAUGCUUAGGGCUACACACGUGCUACAAUGGGUAGUACAGAGGGUUGCCAAGCCGUAAGGUGGAGCUAAUCCCUUAAAGCUACUCUCAGUUCGGAUUGUAGGCUGAAACUCGCCUACAUGAAGCUGGAGUUACUAGUAAUCGCAGAUCAGAAUGCUGCGGUGAAUGCGUUCCCGGGUCUUGUACACACCGCCCGUCACACCACGGGA